rnacentral:rRNA from 1 species
AACGAACGCUGGCGGCAUGCCUAACACAUGCAAGUCGAACGAUCCCUUCGGGGAUAGUGGCGCACGGGUGCGUAACGCGUGGGAACCUGCCCUUAGGUUCGGAAUAACUCAGAGAAAUUUGAGCUAAUACCGGAUAAUGUCUUCGGACCAAAGAUUUAUCGCCUUUGGAUGGGCCCGCGUUGGAUUAGCUAGUUGGUGGGGUAAAGGCCUACCAAGGCGACGAUCCAUAGCUGGUCUAAGAGGAUGAUCAGCCACACUGGGACUGAGACACGGCCCAGACUCCUACGGGAGGCAGCAGUGGGGAAUAUUGGACAAUGGGCGAAAGCCUGAUCCAGCAAUGCCGCGUGAGUGAUGAAGGCCUUAGGGUUGUAAAGCUCUUUUACCCGGGAUGAUAAUGACAGUACCGGGAGAAUAAGCCCCGGCUAACUCCGUG